UGAACAAGCGGAGAUGGCAUUCUCCCUGAACCGCCGUGCCUUCAGGCGCGGCUGAUGAUGCCUACCAGUCC
rnacentral:ncRNA from 2 species